CAGAACCAAGCCGGCAACCACCCAUUUCUCUGCAUUCCCUCCACGUCCGAGUACAACACGGAUUCGCAAACCAUCUGCGUUUAACCCCAUCCGAACAACUCCUUCAUCUUUUCCGUGAUCAACUCCACCUUUCCAGCUCCCAUGUCCAAAGAACAGAAGCUUCUUCACCCGUGAAUUCUUCCCCAUUCUUCAUGAUUUAUCCUCAUCUUCCUCUCACCCACCGCGUCCCACGCAUCCUGGCAUUCCAAACUUCAUUCCCUCCCAGCCGUUCGACCCAACUCCUAGAUUUUCCCA
rnacentral:lncRNA from 1 species